rnacentral:rRNA from 1 species
UACGAAGGGGGCUAGCGUUGUUCGGAAUUACUGGGCGUAAAGGGCGCGUAGGCGGUUUGUCAAGUCAGGCGUGAAAUCCCCAGGCUCAACCUGGGAACUGCGUCCGAUACUGGAUGGCUUGAAUUCGGGAGAGGGAUGCAGAAUUCCAGGUGUAGCGGUGAAAUGCGUAGAUAUCGUCAAGAACACCUAUAGCGAAGGCAGCUUACUAGGCUGUAACUGACGCUGAGGCACGAAAGUGUGGGGAUCAAACAGG